AAAGUAUUGUUUUCCGAAACAAUAGAAUGCUGUCGUUCUUGUGAUUGUUUGUGAAGAAUUACUUUUUGUAAAGGUAAAAUUUUCAUUUCAAACAAAAUGUGGAUCGGUUUGCGUGACACUUCGGUCGUUAUUGGAAAAUUACAUAAAUUCUAAAAUAGGGAACGAAUAUCUGCUACAAUAUCGGAUCACAAGCCAUCUUUUAUCUAGAUUUUUAACUCGAAAAUAUUGUGACUUUCGCCAGACACUCCAAUUACUGUUCAAUUUAUAAAUUCGAAUGUCUGACAAGGUAGAAUCACUUGGACAAUCGGCACAGGCCUUUCCUACUUUAUAUGGUUGCAAACCUAGAUCUGGAAUACUAAACAAAACAGAAAAAAAUAAAUAUUAAGAAAAUUUUAAUAAUACAUUAAAUUAAUAUUCGUUUUCAUUAACUCCGUUAAUUAUUAAGAAUUUCACAUUAUUUAUUCUAAAAGUCUAAACAUAUUAAAAUCUAAAUAUGUGAAUUGUGUUUCUAUUGAAGCAGUAAUUACGUUGUUGAGACAUAACAAUGCAAUACAGCAUACAUACAAGAAUGACUUUGGCCAUACAUGAAGUGUUUAGCCAGCGAAAAAGAGGGUAAGGGAAAGGAAGAAGAGGAGAUAGAUAGUAGAGAAUGGUAGUAUCCCUCUGAACGGCGUACGUUUGGCUACAGUACCCUCUACGUUUGAUGCUGGCGUGAAGUUUUUAGGCUGCAAGGCCGCAGUAUCUCCAAAACAUGCAGCUAGCCUGUUGGUGAUAUAUUCAAUAAGUAUUGUUCCAUGGAUUUAUGCAUUCUGCCACUGGUGGACACGCAGAGAGAAAGGAGAUACCAUUGCAGGUAUUGGUUUUGUAAGUAUAAUUAGAACCAUCUGCCCAAUCAUUUAUUUGGCGAAAUUGAUCGAGGAGAUAAUUGCUGAUGAUACCUCUAUUUUGACUGAAUUUCUUCUUACACGAAGAAGGAC